rnacentral:rRNA from 1 species
GCGCACCUUCGGGUGAGCGGCGGACGGGUUAGUAACGCGUGGGAACGUGCCCAGAUCUAAGGAAUAGCCACUGGAAACGGUGAGUAAUACCUUAUACGCCCUUCGGGGGAAAGAUUUAUCGGAUUUGGAUCGGCCCGCGUUAGAUUAGGUAGUUGGUGGGGUAAUGGCCUACCAAGCCUACGAUCUAUAGCUGGUUUUAGAGGAUGAUCAGCAACACUGGGACUGAGACACGGCCCAGACUCCUACGGGAGGCAGCAGUGGGGAAUCUUAGACAAUGGGGGAAACCCUGAUCUAGCCAUGCCGCGUGAGUGACGAAGGCCCUAGGGUCGUAAAGCUCUUUCGCCAGGGAUGAUAAUGACAGUACCUGGUAAAGAAACCCCGGCUAACUCCGUGCCAGCAGCCGCGGUAAUACGGAGGGGGUUAGCGUUGUUCGGAAUUACUGGGCGUAAAGCGCGCGUAGGCGGAUUGGAAAGUUGGGGGUGAAAUCCCAGGGCUCAACCCUGGAACUGCCUCCAAAACUAUCAGUCUAGAGUUCGAGAGAGGUGAGUGGAACUCCGAGUGUAGAGGUGAAAUUCGUAGAUAUUCGGAAGAACACCAGUGGCGAAGGCGGCUCACUGGCUCGAUACUGACGCUGAGGUGCGAAAGUGUGGGGAGCAAACAGGAUUAGAUACCCUGGUAGUCCACACCGUAAACGAUGAAUGCCAGUCGUCGGGUAGUAUACUAUUCGGUGACACACCUAACGGAUUAAGCAUUCCGCCUGGGGAGUACGGUCGCANAUUAAACUCA